UGUCUUUCCAGAUGCCCAAUCUGUACCACUCAAAAAGUAAUGAAGUGACAGUGUACCAUGACAAAAAAUCUAAGAUGAGCCUGAAGAGGAGAUUUGGGAAGAUGCUGUUUAUAAGUCUUUGCUUUGCCAGAUCACCUGUGGUCGAGAUGUCUGCUAACAAGAUGCCUUGUUGGUCUGGACGAGUUUGAAGUCUCUCACAGACAGUCCAGAAGGUCUGGAGUCCAUCUUAGCUUUUAUUGAUGCUUUCAUUGGGUUUUAAGUACAGUAUGAGCCAGAAUGGAAGGGUGUUGGUGGCCAUAAGAAGACUGUGAGCUAAACCUACAACAAAAUUCAUAUUUGCAGUUUUCCUAUAAA